rnacentral:lncRNA from 10 species
CCACACCCAGCUAAUUUUUUUUAUUUUUAGUAAGGGAAGAGACCACCCCUCAUAUUGUCUUAUGCCCGAUUUCUGCCUCCAAAGAAAGAAAAAGUAAAAACUAAAAGGGAGAAGUGAAAUCCACAAGCAGACAGCCUGGUGCCACACCCUGGGCCUGGUAGUUAAAGAUCGACCCCUGACUUAAUCAGUUAUGUUAUCUAUAGAUUACAGACAUUGUAUAGAAAAGCACUGUGAAAAUCUCUAUCCCGUUUUGUUCCAAUCUAAUUACUGGUGCAUGCAGCCCCCAGUCAUGUACCCCCUGCUUGCUCAAUCAAUCAUGACCCUCUUGCGUGCACCCACUUAGAAUUGUGAGCCCUUAUAAAGGACAAGAGUUGCUCACUCAGGGAGCUUGCCUCUUGAGACAGGAGUCUUGCUGAUGCCCCCAGCCGAAUAAACCCCUUCCUUCUUUAACUUGGUGUCUGAGUUUUGUCUGCAGCUUAUCCUGCUACAUUAGUAGAGAUGGGGUUUCACUGUGAUAGCCAGGAUGGUCUUGAUCUCUUGACCUGAUGAUCUGCCCGCCUCAGCCUCCCAAAGUGCUAGAAUUACAGAUGUGAGCCACUGUACCCGGCCCAAUUUGUAUAUGUUGAACCAACCUUGCAUCCCAGGGAUAAAGCCUACUUAACUGUGAUGGGUUUUGGUAUCAAGAUGAUGCUGGCCUCACAGAAUGAAUUAUGAAGGAGAAAGAGUCCCUCCUCCUCACUUUUUUGGAAUAGUUUCAGCAGGAAUGGUACUAGCUCUUCUUUGUACAUCUGGUAGAAUUCAGCUGUAAAUCUGUCUGGUCUUGGGCUUUUUUUGUUGUUGUUAGGCUAUUUGUUACUGAUUCAAUUUCAGAGCUCAUUCAUUAUUGGUCUGUUCAGGGAUUCAAUUUUUCCCUUGAUCAGUCUUGGGAGGCUGUAUGUGUCCAGGAAUUU